rnacentral:rRNA from 1 species
UACAGAGGGGCAAGCGUUGUUCGGAAUUACUGGGCGUAAAGGCGCGUAGGCGGCCCGCUAAGUCGAACGUGAAAUCCCCGAGCUCAACUCGGGAACUGCGUCCGAUACUGGUGGGCUUGAAUCCGGGAGAGGGAUGCAGAAUUCCAGGUGUAGCGGUGAAUGACGUAGAUAUCUGGAGGAAUACCGGUGGCGAAGGCGGCAUCCUGGACCGACAUUGACGCUGAUGAGCGAAAGCGUGGGGAGCAACAGG